GCUAGGGAUGAUGGGAGCUGUAGUCCCAAAACAGCUAGAGGGCCAAGUUUGGCCAUCACUGGUCAAGGCUUCUCAAACUUGGGUUUCCAGCUGUUUCUGGACUACAACUCCCAUCAUCCCUAGCU